CGUCUGCUCCCAAAAAAGGAAAUUAAAAAAUCAGACUAUCAAACAGAGGAAACAUAUGUAAAGGCAAAAGAAUCGAAUAGUGUGGAGAAGGAAUAAUACAGAGUGAUAGGCAGACUCAAGAGGAUGAGAUCCGACGAUGUCGCUCUUAACACCCUGAAGACCGAAUCGAAACGCAUCGUUUCGCAUUCCCCCGAUUUCGUGUGCUAUAGUCUUUGAAGCUUCCAUUGCUCUCUUCUUCUUUUUCUUCUUCUGGCUCUGUAAAACUAUUUCAGAGGAAACAAAUCUUUCUGAACAAGUCACUCCCCCGAUUUCGUGUGCUAUUGUCUUUGAAGCUUCCAUUGCUCGCUUCUUCUUUUUCUUCUUCUGGCUCUGUAAAACUAUUUCAGUGGAAACAAAUCUUUCUGAAUAAGAAAGGAAGGGGCAGAACUGGGUUUAUGAAUUUUGUAGCCGGGCCUCUUCUUGUUAUGGACCUAUUGUGUAGACGGGGCCUCACAU
rnacentral:lncRNA from 1 species